GAUGAAGAACGCAGCGAAAUGCGAUAAGUAAUGUGAAUUGCAGAAUUCAGUGAAUCAUCGAAUCUUUGAACGCACAUUGCGCCCAUUAGUAUUCUAUUGGGCAUGCCUGUUCGAGCGUCAUUUUGACCACUUAAGCCUGGCUUAGUGUUGGGAAUCUACGUUUGUAGUUCCUUAAAUCUAGUGGCGGAGCCGCAGUGGCCUCUGAGCGUAGUAAUUUUUUCUCGCUUUGGAAGGUUCUGUAGUUUUUGCCGUUAAACCCCCAAUUUUUUAAGGUUGACCUCGGAUCAGGUAGGAAUACCCGCUGAACUUAAGCAUAUCAAUAAGCGGAGGA
rnacentral:misc_RNA from 1 species